GCUGAGGCCUAUCCCGACAGACCUUUCUCGGUGGGGCCUAGUCGUUGGAAAUGCCUCAAAGAAUAUACCUGUGGUUUCGCUUUACCCUCAUGGCUACUUCCAUUAGCUGUGUGGGAUAUUACUGCAGAACAACA